CGGGACGGGUGAGUAAUGUCGUGGGAAACUGCCUGAUGGAGGGGGAUAACUACUGGAAACGGUAGCUAAUACCGCAUAACGUCGCAAGACCAAAGAGGGGGACCUUCGGGCCUCUUGCCAUCGGAUGUGCCCAGAUGGGAUUAGCUAGUAGGUGGGGUAACGGCUCACCUAGGCGACGAUCCCUAGCUGGUCUGAGAGGAUGACCAGCCACACUGGAACUGAGACACGGUCCAG
rnacentral:rRNA from 1 species